rnacentral:rRNA from 1 species
CCAACAGGGAUUGCCUCAGUAACGGCGAGUGAAGCGGCAAGAGCUCAGAUUUGGAAUCCGGCAGGCUAUGUUUGCCCGAGUUGUAAUCUGGAGAUAGGGCUUCGGUUUAGGCAUUGGUCAAGAUUCCUUGGAAUAGGAUGACACAGAGGGUGAGAACCCCGUACCUGGCUGACCGCCGACACCAUGUGAGGCCUCUUCGACGAGUCGAGUUGUUUGGGAAUGCAGCUCUAAAUGGGUGGUAAAUUCCAUCUAAAGCUAAAUAUCUGCGAGAGACCGAUAGCGCACAAGUAGAGUGAUCGAAAGAUGAAAAGCACUUUUGAAAAGAGAGUUAAAAAGUACCGUGAAAUUGUUGAAAGGGAAGCGCUU